UACGAGGGGGGCGAGCGUUGUUCGGAAUUAUUGGGCGUAAAGGGUGCGUAGGCGGUUUGGUAAGUCUUGUGUGAAAUCUCCAGGCUCAACUUGGAGUCUGCACGAGAAACUGCCGGGCUUGAGUGUGGGAGAGGUGAGUGGAAUUCCUGGUGUAGCGGUGAAAUGCGUAGAUAUCAGGAGGAACACCUGUGGCGAAAGCGGCUCACUGGACCACAACUGACGCUGAUGCACGAAAGCUAGGGGAGCAAACAGG
rnacentral:rRNA from 1 species